CAACCGCUCAGCGCCCUUUUUUAACCACUCAGCGGUUUGCCUCUAAUCGCACUGGGUGCUCAGCGGUCUGUUCUAGCGCUCAGCAGUUCCUUUGGCUCUUCUUUUCAUCCUUUCUCUUCAUCUUUCACAAGCAUAAGUCCAUCUUACUUCACUUCCAUCUUCAAAUCACCUCAAAUCCCUGCAAAACAAUGUAAAACCAAGCAUAAUACCUCUAAAACCAACUUUUGACUCUCAAUGACUCAACUAAUUGUUUUACUUGACUUUAAGCUCAUUCUAAGCCAUAAAGGGUGUGUUUUAAUAUCAAAUUUAAGUAUGAAUAUAACGAUUUUUAGACCAUUAUCACAACCCCA
rnacentral:lncRNA from 1 species